UACGUAGGGUGCAAGCGUUGUCCGGAAUUAUUGGGCGUAAAGAGCUCGUAGGCGGUCUGUCGCGUCGGCUGUGAAAACUCGGGGCUCAACUCCGAGCUUGCAGUCGAUACGGGCAGGCUAGAGUUCGGCAGGGGAGACUGGAAUUCCUGGUGUAGCGGUGAAAUGCGCAGAUAUCAGGAGGAACACCGGUGGCGAAGGCGGCAUCCUGGACCAACACUGACACUGAGGAGCGAAAGCCAGGGGAGCAAACGGG
rnacentral:rRNA from 1 species